CGGCGGCGCGCGAUGCGGCGCCGCUGGCGGCUGUCGUCCGCCAGGACUUGCCGGUCGCGCCGGCCGCCGUCGA
rnacentral:tRNA from 1 species